CAGCCGCCGCGGUAAUACGAAGGGGGCUAGCGUUGUUCGGAAUUACUGGGCGUAAAGCGCACGUAGGCGGACAUUUAAGUCAGGGGUGAAAUCCCGGGGCUCAACCCCGGAACUGCCUUUGAUACUGGGUGUCUAGAGUAUGGAAGAGGUGAGUGGAAUUCCGAGUGUAGAGGUGAAAUUCGUAGAUAUUCGGAGGAACACCAGUGGCGAAGGCGGCUCACUGGUCCAUUACUGACGCUGAGGUGCGAAAGCGUGGGGAGCAAACAGGAUUAGAGACCCCGGUAGUCCCUGUCUCUUAUAC
rnacentral:rRNA from 1 species